AAAUUGAAGAGUUUGAUCAUGGCUCAGAUUGAACGCUGGCGGCAGGCCUAACACAUGCAAGUCGAACGGUAACAGGAAGCAGCUUGCUGCUUUGCUGACGAGUGGCGGACGGGUGAGUAAUGUCUGGGAAACUGCCUGGUGGAGGGGGAUAACUACUGGAA
rnacentral:rRNA from 1 species